rnacentral:rRNA from 1 species
UUCUUUAUGUAUUUUAUAUAAAGUAAUUUCUGCCCAAUGACUAAUUUUAUUUAAAUGGCUGCAGUAUAUUGACUGUACAAAGGUAGCAUAAUAAUUAGUUUUUUAAUUGGAAACUUGAAUGAAAGGAUAAAUGAAAAAUUAUCUUUAUUGGCUUUAAUAUUAAAAUUUUAUUUUUUGGUUAAAAUGCUAAAUAAUGUUUUAGGGACGAUAAGACCCUAUAGAAUUUAAAAUGUAAAUUCAUUGUGGUAUUUUUAGGUUUAAUUUAUUCAUUUAAUUUAAAUUUUUAAUUGGGGUGAUUAAUAAAUUUAACUUUUUUUACUUAAAUCAUUAAUUUAUGUUAUAAAGAUCCUUUAUAAGAUUAUAAGAUAAAUUACCUUAGGGAUAACAGCGUAAUUUUAAUGGAAAGUUCAUAUUUAAAUUAAAGUUUGCGACCUCGAUGUUGAAUUAAGAUAUAAUUAAGGUGUAGAGUCUUUAAUAAUAAGUCUGUUCGACUUUUAUAAUCUUACA